GAUGAACGCUGGCGGCGUGCCUAAUACAUGCAAGUCGAGCGAACGGACGAGAAGCUUGCUUCUCUGAUGUUAGCGGCGGACGGGUGAGUAACACGUGGAUAACCUACCUAUAAGACUGGGAUAACUUCGGGAAACCGUAGCUAAUACCGGAUAAUAUUUUGUACCGCAUGGUUCAAAAGUGAAAGACGGUCUUGCUGUCACUUAUAGAUAGAUCCGCGCUGCAUUAGCUAGUUGGUAAGGUAACGGCUUACCAAGGCAACGAUGCAUAGCCGACCUGAGAGGGUGAUCGGCCACACUGGAACUGAGACACGGUCCAGACUCCUACGGGAGGCAGCAGUAGGGAAUCUUGCGCAAUGGGCGAAAGCCUGACGGAGCAACGCCGCGUGAGUGAUGAAGGUCUUCGGAUCGUAAAGCUCUGUUAUUAGGGAAGAACAGAUGUGGAAGUAACUGUGCACAUCUUGACGGUACCUAAUCAGAAAGCCACGGCUAACUACGUG
rnacentral:rRNA from 1 species